CAUGGACUUUCCUUUUCAGAAAAGGAACUUCAGGCCCUACUGAACUGGCAACCCCAACGUUGAGGGAGAGUCCCGCCCUUAGAUUGCCCAAUGCGCUGGGUUGUGGUAAGACCAAGGCUUGUCCAAUUCCUGUCAACUCCAAGACGUGGAAGAAAUUCCUUGUGAGACAAGAAAGUCUGCGGAGAAGAGCUUUAAAAUCCACAGCCCUGGUGCCUUCAUUUAGAUGAAUCCAAGUUCUCACUCUACCUCGCACUCCACAUGUAGCAACAGAGAGACACAUGCAGGUGAGGGCGCACACACUCAGCGUUCACACACACUCUGCGUGGAGGGCUUCCUCGUCCUCUCCUGCCCCCAACCCUGGAGUCCAGGAUUUCCCAGAGGAACAAAACAGGACCAGUCUGAGUGGCAGAAGCAGAAUCCCAUGGUAGCCAGGUGGGUGAAGGGGAGCGAGGACGUCCCAUCUGCCUUGAAGAAGACGCCUUCUGACCUGCUGAGGGAGUGACCAGGUAGUAAACAGUCUGAGGGCACAGGGUGUUGAGAGGGAGGGAAAAGGUGCUUACCCUUUGAGUGUGGUCUACCAGCCACUCUUUUCCACAGAGAGAUGCUAAAACCAAGAAUCCCCUCCCCAGAGGCUCUAAGUCUUGUUCCCCCUUUUAAGGCCAUCAAUCUUGAAUAGCUAUUGGUGUCAUUACCUCCAACACUAGAUGUGCAGAAAUGUAACAAGAGAGCUUUCAGCAGAAAGAGGGAAAAGAUCCAGCUCAUCUGAAGCCUGGCCCAUUGCCUCUUUUAAAGAGAGGUUAAAACAGAAGCUUCAUGGCACCGCCUUCAUGUAAACAGGGCCAAGUUUUCCAGAAUCUGGCAGACAGCUGAGCUUGGAGCUUCGCUCGUGCCCGCAGGACACUCGUGUGUCACUCACACUUGAAAACUUAAGCCUCUGUUUUUAUUUCAGUGGAUUGAAUGGCAUGCACUUUCCCUUAGCAGUUUCUCUCUCUCUCUCUCUCUCUCUCUCUCCCUUUUUUUAAAGUGCAUGCAUUUACUUGUACAUAAACUUCAUUUGCUUUGGGCAAUGCUCACGUUCUGAGCUUGACUAUGCUUUUGGGCAUGGUGGCAUGUUGUUUUGUUCCCAAGUUUUUGUGGUGGUCACUUUCCUCUUGGUUACGGAAAAAUGCUGCUGAGGGGCUGAUAAAGCCUAUGUUCUUCAGUUAUAUCCUGUAUUUUUCUCUUAAAUUAAUCUCUACAUAAGUGGAAUAGGCUUCAAAAAGAAAAAUAAAUUCUGAAUAGCUUAGGGCCCUUCUUUGCAAUGAAAAUGAAAAAGUAACUUUUCUUUCCAAGAAAAAAAAAAUCAUUUCAAGGGUUAUUCAGUAAAUGACACGCUCUUAAUAUAACAGGAAAAUUAAAAAGCACGAAUCCCUGCAUCUUCAACAAGUGUUAGUUUCUGAUGGAUGGUUUCAGUUUCCUUGAAAGGAUUUGCCCAGAAGAUUACUUCCAAAACUUCUGUUGAGAUAAUGCUGCCCUAACAGCGAAGAUUAUUGCAUGAAUCACAGACCACUGUAUCCAGUUCCUUUUUAAAGGGGGGAUUUUUUCCUUUAUCCUUAAAAUACCAAUGAGGUGGAAAAAACCCCACAUGCCAACCAGGUAGUGUUACCCUGUAAUUACUCCCAUUGUCUGUUUCAAGGAAUAUAGGAUGAUUUAUUUCAGUUGUCAGGCAGGUAGUAUAAGAUGCUGUAUGGCCUCACACUCAGCUUGUUCCUGUCUGUUGAUGCAGAGGGAAGCAUUCCCGGGGACUCAGCUUGGAAACCUGGUCCUUUUCCAGGUGGGUCUCUUCUGCCACAAUGUCAGAUGCCUGUACUUGCCUACUUGUUCUAUAGCUUUUUACAAGAGAUUCCUAUGUUGGUUCUGGUUGUUUCUAAAGGAAUAAGGCAAAAAUUUUGUGCCAUACCUAAAUGUCAUACCUAAUAUGACAUUUUGAUAAUUAGCAUAUUAACCAAGCUAUUAAUGAAGCAUAAUUAUUCACUAUGUGUUUGUUGUUGGUUGGUUGAUGACUUAGUCCUUUCCAAUAUAAUCAUGAACCAGGAGAGGUCAUCAAUUCUAAAGUAUUCAUUGGAUUGGGGGGGAUGCAUUUCUGUUGCAGAGAAUGCCACACAAAAGGGUAAGUUUUUUAAAAAUUGUAUUUAUAUUACCAGUUUUAAAAAUAUGUAUUAAUAUUCUCUAUUGCUAUAUUAAAACUAUCAUAUAGAUGGUGCAUUUUAGUUGUAUGAGUGCUGACCCAAUGCUCAGUCAACUUAUUUUUAAACUUUCUAGAAUUGGAAAUUUGUGCUAACUAUACAUAAAUAUUCAUAAUACUCAGUGGGGUAGAUGCAUGUGAGUGUGAUUUUAUAAUGAGAAAAACUGGCAUCAUUUUUGAGUGUAAGGCUUUGUUUUGGCACUUUCUAGGCAUUAUUUCAUUUAACCAUCACAAAAACCUGAGGAGUAGGUUAUAUUCCCAUUUUACAGAUCAAGGAGCUGAGAUCCAGAGAACUUAAAUAGCUCUGGGCACUGUGCCAGAUUAUCAGAGAUUGGAAGUGUGAAGGAUAUGCAAGGUCACACAGCAAAUAAAUUGGACAGUUGGCAUUUAGCCCAGGUUUGCUGAUCUCCAGAGUUCAUGCUCCUCACUCCACCCUACUGUCUUCCUUAAGUACUGGUAGACUAGUCUUGCCUGCCAAAUUCACCUUUCUUAUAUAGAUCUAUAUACAUUCCUACAUACUUCAUUUGAUUAUCCUAUUUCUGUUUUCUGGUUGUUCUACUACAUGUGACAGUACCAGAACAUCUUUCUUUGUCAUUUCCU
rnacentral:lncRNA from 1 species